GAGACGGAGUCUCUUUCUGUCGCCCAGGCUGGAGAGCACUGGCACGAACUCAGCUCACUAACCUCUGCCUCCCGGGUUCAAGGGAUUCUCCUGCCUCAUCCUCCCAAGUAGCUGGGAUUACAGGCGCAUGCCACCAUGCCCGGCUAAUUUUUGUAUUUUAGUAGAGACGAGGUUUCACCACGUUAGCCAGGCUGGUCUUGAACUCCUGACCUCAGGUGAGCCGCCUGCCUCGACCUCCCAAAGUGCUGGGAUUCUAGGCGUGAGCCACUGCGACCGGCCUAGUUCCACUUUUAGUUUUGUCUGAGAAAAUAUAUAUUAUACACAUUUGGUUUUUCUAAAUUUUGUAUAAAGUUAUGGGGCACAAUUGUAAUUUUGUUACAUGGAUAUUUUGCUGCAUGGGGUGAAGCCCGGGCUUUUUGAAUAUCCAUCACUGGAAUAACAUGCAUUGUACCCAUUAGUAAUUUUGCAUCUUGCACCCCCAACCCUUCCAAGUCUCCAUGUUUUCACACUCUACGUCCAUGUGUACACAUUAUUUAGCUCCCACUUAAGAGAAUUUGGGGUGUUUGUCUUUCUGUGUCUGAGUUGUUUCAUUUAAGGUAACGGCCUCCAGUUCCAUCCAAGUUGCUGCAAUAAACAUGAUUUCAUUUGAAAAUACACAUAUAUGUAUACGUAGAAUUUUUAAAAUUAUCUUUAAAAUUUUUGCUUCUUUCUGGUUAUUUCCUCAAGGUCAUCCAUAUAUCUCCUGCAGCUGAAUCUCUCGAUAUGCCUCUGCGGCCCUCUGUACCCUAAUCUAAAUUUUUAUUUUUAUUUAUUUAUUUAUUGAGACGGAGUCUCGCUCUGUGUCGCCUAGGCUGGAGUGCAGUGGCACAAUCUCUGCUCACUGCAACCUCCGGCUCCUGGGCUCAAGCAAUUCUCGUGCCUCGGCUUCCCAAGUACCUGUGACUGCAGGUGUGCGCUACCACAACAUGGGGUCUCACCCAUGUUGGCCAGACUGGUCUCGAACUCCUGACCUCAAGGGAUCCACCCGACUCAGCUUCCCAAAGUGCUGGGAUUACAGGCGUGAGCCACUGGCCCAACCCCACUCUAAAUUUUUAAAAUUAUUGUUGAAUAAGUAAAAGUAAUAUGUAUCAUCUUGUACUUUUUUAAAACUUCUUGAAUAAAAUGUAAUAGUUUACAUUUCAUUGACAAAUUUAUCAGUCCAAUUCUGCUUUACAAUGCCAUCCCUUGGGAACCACAGCUUAUUCUCUCAAGAGAGUUGAAAAUACGCAUUUGGUUAUAAUUAUUUAACAUGAAAAAUGUAUCCAUUCCAAGCCUAACCUGAGAGAUACAGAUAAUAUACAUUCCUAUAAUUGAGCUCUAAAGUGCUUUUAUUCUUAGGAUAAAUUUUAAAAACUAGAAUCUGUGGAGACCCAAGAUCACAUGUAAAACCAAUAAAUAUAUAUAUUUUUGUAAAGUAUGUAAAAAUAGCAUUGAAAAGAAUAAAAAUUAGGCAAUUUGUGAGUGGAAGGAGAGAUGGCAAAAGUCUUUUAUUAACAAAAUAAUCAUAGUUAUGGAAGUUUUAUUACAUGCCGGCCACAUUCUCAGUAUGUUAAAUGUAUUGGCUUAUUUAAAACUCACAAGAAUCUCAUGAGAUAUUAAUAUUUCCCCCAUUUUAAAGAUGAGGCUCAGAGAGAUUAGAACUUGCCCAAGCUCAUACAAUGAGUGACCCUUGGAGCCCAGCAAUGAACCGAGUCAGUGACAUUACAGACUUCAUGAUAAAAAUGUGACUCUUGGCCGGGCGCGGUGGCUCACGCCUGUAAUCCCAGCACUUUGGGAGGCCGAGGAGGGCAGAUCACGAGGUCAGGACAUGGAGACCAUCCUGGCUAACACGGUGAAACCCCGUCUCUACUAAAAUACAAAAAAUUAGCCGGGCGUGGUGGCAGGCAUCUGUAGUCCCAGCAACUCGGGAGGCUGGGGCAGGAGAAUGGCGUGAACCCGGGAGGUGGAGCUUGCAGUGAGCCGAGAUUGUGCCACUGCACUCCAGCCUGGGCGACAGAGCAAGACUCCGUCUCAAAAAAAAAAAAAUGUGACUCUUUCGAAAAAAAAAAGAGCAGAUAUUUGUUUCCACCAGUGAUGAUCUUCAAAAUUGUUACUACCAGUUUUAGAAUCUCUGGCACGAUGAGAAUAAUCAGGCUUAUAUCCAUAAUGUAUUUUAAAGGUGAAUUUGUUUUGGAGUAGUUAUAAAUGAAGCUGAGAAAUUGACAGUAAGCAUAGGAUUGGCAGAAAGCAAAAUGACUAUCUUACAUAUUGAUGAAUGGAUGCAUUGAAACAUAAUCUGCACAAAGAAAAAUAUUUCAUUUUGAAUAAACAUGCCUAUCUGCGUCGAUUGAAACUUGGCCAGGUUUCUGUUCUCCUUUGUUUUGCAUUAUUUUCACUUGAAUGGAAAAACAUUGUUACUAAAUUGGUUAAAAUUAUUACAGGAAGAAUGUUGUUUCGAAGUAUAAAGUAAUUUAUACAGAAUUUCUAUGUUACAUUAUCUGAUUGAGACAGUUAAGCAAAACAAAGUCAAAUUUCUUCUUCUUCUUCUUUUUUUUUUCUGAGACAGUCUUGCUCUGUGGCCCAGAACUGGAGUGCAAUGGCAUGAUCUCGGCUUACUGCAACCUCUGCCUCCCAGGUUCAAAUGAUUCUCCUGCCUCAGCCUCCCGAGUAGCCAGGAUUACAGGCACACGCCACCAUGCCCAGCUAAUUUUUGUAUUUUUAGUAGAGACGGGGUUUCACUACGUUGGCCAGGCUGGUCUCAAACUCCUGACCUCGUGAUCCGCCCGCCUUGGCCUCCCAAAGUGCUGGGAUUACAGGCAUGAGCCACCUCACCCAGCC
rnacentral:lncRNA from 1 species